rnacentral:misc_RNA from 1 species
AGGUUUACAGGUUUACAGAAACAAUACGUUAUACUCAAAAUGGCUAGAUACAAAAUUUUUUUUAAAAAUGCGGAAAAGAUUUAGAUCAAACUGAAAAUAUUUAUAAAAUUGGAAUUCAAGAAAGUAUGUCUCUCGUAGACGAACAAAUUCUAAAUUUUGAUAAAGUUGAAAAGCAAGAAACCAAGUCUCUAAUUAACCAGCAAAACGAAAACUUCGAUGAAACAAAUAAACAAGAAAAAAAAGAUUUCGAAAAGUUAGAUGUUGAUGGAAUUUUAUUUCUCAUUGGAGAAUUUGGGCGGAGCCAAAUAUUAUUGAUGAUUAUGUUAAGUUUGCUAAUGAUACCAACUGCUUACCAGUCCCUUUCUAUUACAUUUAUUGGACUAAACCCACCUUGGCGUUGCACAAAUAAUAGCAAGGAAUGUAAUAGGCAAGGCGAGUUUUCAAUAAACGAUGAAUUUUAUAAGCAAAGAUGUUCAAUGAAAAGAGAUUCUUGGACUUACGUAAAAGAAAAAGAUUUUUCCAUAGUUACAGAGUGGGAUUUAGUUUGCGACAAGGUCAGUUUGACGUAUAUGGCUAACAGUGCCUUGCAAAUUGGUGGAGGAAUAGGAACUAUAAUUCUUGGUUUCAUGUCAGACAAAUAUGGACGGAAAAAAAUACUUUAUCCCACAUUUGUAUUAUUUAUUGUGAUCUCUUUUCUCAUUGCUUUUAUUCAAACAUUUUGGAUUUUUUUUGCCUUACGUAUUAUCAUUGGUAUUUUGCAAGGAGGUAUUUAUUUGACAUUAUGGGUUUUAAUGACAGAGUCCGUGGGCUUAACUUACAGAAGCUAUUCAAAUGUGCUAUGGUGUGCAUACACUGUUGGAAUGUGUUUAAUGGCGUUACAAUCAUGGCUUGUACCAAAAUGGCGCAUCUUGUUAAUCUUACUCAGUGCACCUUAUUUAAUUCUUGUAGGAACUUACAGUUUUAUGCCUGAAUCUGCAAGAUGGCUUCGUGUAAAGAAUCAAAUAAGUUUAGCAGAGAAAGUUCUCAAACAGAUUGCAAAAUGUAACAAAAAACCAUGGCCAAAUGCAUGUUUAUCAGCAAUUUCUGAAAAUUCAAAGCAGAAAAAGACUUCAUACAUUUAUGUAUUUUAUCCAUUAAAAGUGUUUUUGUCAACAAGCAUGCAAUUUUUUCUUUGGUUUGGUAAUGCAGUUGCAUACUAUGGAAUAUCACUGAUAUCAGAAAAUCUCAGCAACAAUAUGUACAGAGAUUUUGUUUUGAUCAGUAUUGUUGAUAUUCCAUCAAAUUUCAUUGUUUGUUGGCUUUGUAACAGGUUUGGCAGAAAAAAAACAACAAUAUUAACUGCAGUUAUAGGCGGAGCACUUGUUAUAGUUUUGGCUUUCAUACCUUGCAGAGCAGAUUACUACUUUGUUAGAGUUUCUGUUGCCAUGGUAGCAAAGUUUUUUGUCAACCUUUCUUAUGGUGGAAUUUAUAUUUGGUCUACAGAACUAUAUCCUACAUCUAUCAGGUCUCAAGGAAUUGGAGUUUGUACAUGGGCAGGUGUAUUAGGUGCUGCAUCUGCACCAUGGGUCAGUCAAUUUUUAGGAUAUAUUCAUUUAACUCUUCCUUUUUGUGUAAUGGGAUCCAUUCUUUUUAUUUCGGGGAUUUGUUGCUGCAUAUUACCAGAGACAAAUGGAAUAUCAACUGUGGAAGUAGUCGAAGAAUAAUAUUGAUAUUUUUUAAAGCAGAUUCUAUCCUAUAAAUGUCUAAACGCUUCAGUCUUAUAUUUGAAUGCGUGCAUUCUUUCAAUUGUUGCUUCAUUGAAGUUUGAUAUUUUUCAUAAAAUUUUACUGGGUUUCUGAAGAUUUCUUAUUUAUUUGCUACUUACUAUGGUGCAGAUAUCAAUCAGUUUUUAUGAAGAUAUUCGAAUCCAAAUAAACAAUUGAAAAAGAUGAA